rnacentral:rRNA from 1 species
AUUGAACGCUGGCGGCAUGCCUUACACAUGCAAGUCGAACGGCAGCGGGGGAGAAGCUUGCUUUUCCUGCCGGCGAGUGGCGAACGGGUGAGUAAUACAUCGGAACGUGCCCUGUAGUGGGGGAUAACUAGUCGAAAGAUUAGCUAAUACCACAUACGACCUGAGGGUGAAAGUGGGGGACCGCAAGGCCUCAUGCUAUAGGAGCGGCCGAUGUCUGAUUAGCUAGUUGGUGGGGUAAAGGCCUACCAAGGCGACGAUCAGUAGCUGGUCUGAGAGGACGAUCAGCCACACUGGGACUGAGACACGGCCCAGACUCCUACGGGAGGCAACAGUGGGGAAUUUUGGACAAUGGGCGAAAGCCUGAUCCAGCAAUGCCGCGUGUGUGAAGAAGGCCUUCGGGUUGUAAAGCACUUUUGUCCGGAAAGAAAUGGCUCUGGUUAAUACCUGGGGUCGAUGACGGUACCGGAAGAAUAAGGACCGGCUAACUACGUGCCAGCCGCCGCCGUAAGAC